AUGUACUGGAGGAUACCUUUAUUAUGGCCCUUUAACUCUGAGAGGUCACGCUACACCAUCGACGGUGGUACCACCAGAAGGUGCCAGUGGCACACAUCCCUGACCUCCUCUGCUUCUGUGGUGAAGAGACCUGGAGAGUCAGUCACUCUGUCCUGCACCGUGUCUGGACUCUCCCUCAGCUAUUUAAACUGGAUCCGUCAAAAAUCAGGACAAGGACUGGAGUGGAUCGGAUACAUUAACAGUGGCACUGGCACUACAUUCGCUCAGUCUCUGCAGGGCCGGUUCUCCAUCACUAAAGACACCAAUAAAAACAUGGUGUAUAUGGAAGUGAAGAGUCUGAAAACUGAAGACACGGCUGUUUAUUACUGUGCACAAGAGUCACACCGACACAACAGACUCCAGAGCUGUACAAAAACUUACACAAGCACUUCCUCAUGA